AUAUCAAUAAGCGGAGGAAAAGAAACUAACAAGGAUUCCCCUAGUAACGGCGAGUGAAGCGGGAAGAGCUCAAAUUUGAAAUCUGGCGUGCUCAGUGCGUCCGAGUUGUAAUCUAUAGAGGCGUUUUCCGCGCCGGUCCGCGUCCAAGUCCCUUGGAACAGGGUAUCAAAGAGGGUGACAAUCCCGUGCUUGACGCGACCGCCGGUGCUAUGUGAUACGUCUUCUACGAGUCGAGUUGUUUGGGAAUGCAGCUCCAAGUGGGUGGUAAAUUCCAUCUAAAGCUAAAUAUAAAUGGGAGACCGAUAGCGCACAAGUA
rnacentral:rRNA from 1 species